UUAGGAAUUUUGGGCAAUGGGCGAAAGCCUGACCCAGCAACGCCGCGUGGGUGACGAAGGCCUUCGGGUUGUAAAGCCCUUUUCUGGGGAAGAUGAUGACGGUACCCCAGGAAGAAGCACCGGCUAACUACGUGCCAGCAGCCGCGGUAAUACGUAGGGUGCAAGCGUUGCCCGGAUUUAUUGGGCGUAAAGGGCGCGCAGGCGGCCGAGCACGUCCGUUGUGAAAUCGCCUGGCUCAACUGGGCGGGGUCAGCGGAUACGGCUUGGCUGGAGCAAGCUAGGGGGCAAUGGAAUUCCCGGUGUAGUGGUGGAAUGCGUAGAUAUCGGGAGGAACACCAGUGGCGAAGGCGGUCGCCUGGAGCUUUGCUGACGCUGAGGCGCGAAAGCGUGGGGAGCGAUCCGGAUUAGAUACCCGGGUAGUCCACGCCGUAAACGAUGUCGACUAGGUGUCGGGGGUAUCGACCCCCUCGGCGCCGGAGCUAACGCAUUAAGUCGACCGCCUGGGGACUACGGCCGCAAGGCUAAAAACCCAAGGAAUU
rnacentral:rRNA from 1 species